rnacentral:tRNA from 2 species
GAUUAGUUUAUACAAAAAAUAUUUAGUUGCAAACUAAAAGAAGAUAAAUCU